GACGAACGCUGGCGGCGUGCCUAAUGCAUGCAAGUAGAACGCUGAAGAGAGGAGCUUGCUCUUCUUGGAUGAGUUGCGAACGGGUGAGUAACGCGUAGGUAACCUGCCUUGUAGCGGGGGAUAACUAUUGGAAACGAUAGCUAAUACCGCAUAACAAUGGAUGACACAUGUCAUUUAUUUGAAAGGGGCAAUUGCUCCACUACAAGAUGGACCUGCGUUGUAUUAGCUAGUAGGUGAGGUAAUGGCUCACCUAGGCGACGAUACAUAGCCGACCUGAGAGGGUGAUCGGCCACACUGGGACUGAGACACGGCCCAGACUCCUACGGGAGGCAGCAGUAGGGAAUCUUCGGCAAUGGGGGCAACACUGACCGAGCAACGCCGCGUGAGUGAAGAAGGUUUUCGGAUCGUAAAGCUCUGUUGUAAGUCAAGAACGGGUGUGAGAGUGGAAAGUUCACACUGUGACGGUAGCUUACCAGAAAGGGACGGCUAACUACGUG
rnacentral:rRNA from 1 species